rnacentral:rRNA from 1 species
GUGUCAGCCGCCGCGGUAAUACGUAGGUGGCAAGCGUUGUCCGGAAUAACUGGGCGUAAAGCGCAUGUAGACGGCAUGAUAAGCCAAAUGUGAAAUGUAGGGGCUCAACCCCUGCACUGCGAUUGGAACUGUCAAGCUUGAGUGCAGGAGAGGCAAAUGGAAUUCCCAGUGUAGCAGUGAAAUGCGUAGAGAUUGGGAGGAACACCAGUGGCGAAGGCGAUUUGCUGGACUGCAACUGACGUUGAGAUGCGAAAGCUAGGGGAGCAAACGGGAUUAGAAACCCUCGUAGUCC